UGUUUCGGCUAGGGGGCCAUCCCGGCUUACCAACCCGAUGCAAACUGCGAAUACCGGAGAAUGUUAUCACGGGAGACACACGGCGGGUGCUAACGUCCGUCGUGAAGAGGGAAACAACCCAGACCGCCAGCUAAGGUCCCAAAGUCAUGGUUAAGUGGGAAACGAUGUGGGAAGGCCCAGACAGCCAGGAUGUUGGCUUAGAAGCAGCCAUCAUUUAAAGAAAGCGUAAUAGCUCACUGGUCGAGUCGGCCUGCGCGGAAGAUGUAACGGGGCUAAACCAUGCACCGAAGCUGCGGCAGCGACACUAUGUGUUGUUGGGUAGGGGAGCGUUCUGUAAGCCUGCGAAGGUGGCCUGUGAGGGUUGCUGGAGGUAUCAGAAGUGCGAAUGCUGACAUAAGUAACGAUAAAGCGGGUGAAAAGCCCGCUCGCCGGAAGACCAAGGGUUCCUGUCCAACGUUAAUCGGGGCAGGGUGAGUCGACCCCUAAGGCGAGGCCGAAAGGCGUAGUCGAUGGGAAACGGGUUAAUAUUCCCGUACUUGGUGUUACUGCGAAGGGGGGACGGAGAAGGCUAUGUUGGCCGGGCGACGGUUGUCCCGGUUUAAGCGUGUAGGUGUGUGUUCCAGGUAAAUCCGGUUCACUUUAACACUGAGGCGUGACGACGAGGCACUACGGUGCUGAAGCAACAAAUGCCCUGCUUCCAGGAAAAGCCUCUAAGCAUCAGGUAACAUCAAAUCGUACCCCAAACCGACACAGGUGGUCAGGUAGAGAAUACCAAGGCGCUUGAGAGAACUCGGGUGAAGGAACUAGGCAAAAUGGUGCCGUAACUUCGGGAGAAGGCACGCUGACACGUAGGUGAAGUGAUUUACUCACGGAGCUGAAGUCAGUCGAAGAUACCAGCUGGCUGCAACUGUUUAUUAAAAACACAGCACUGUGCAAACACGAAAGUGGACGUAUACGGUGUGACGCCUGCCCGGUGCCGGAAGGUUAAUUGAUGGGGUCAGCGCAAGCGAAGCUCCUGAUCGAAGCCCCGGUAAACGGCGGCCGUAACUAUAACGGUCCUAAGGUAGCGAAAUUCCUUGUCGGGUAAGUUCCGACCUGCACGAAUGGCGUAAUGAUGGCCAGGCUGUCUCCACCCGAGACUCAGUGAAAUUGAACUCGCUGUGAAGAUGCAGUGUACCCGCGGCAAGACGGAAAGACCCCGUGAACCUUUACUAUAGCUUGACACUGAACAUUGAGCCUUGAUGUGUAGGAUAGGUGGGAGGCUUUGAAGCGUGGACGCCAGUCUGCGUGGAGCCGACCUUGAAAUACCACCCUUUAAUGUUUGAUGUUCUAACGUGGACCCGUGAUCCGGGUUGCGGACAGUGUCUGGUGGGUAGUUUGACUGGGGCGGUCUCCUCCUAAAGAGUAACGGAGGAGCACGAAGGUUGGCUAAUCCUGGUCGGACAUCAGGAGGUUAGUGCAAUGGCAUAAGCCAGCUUGACUGCGAGCGUGACGGCGCGAGCAGGUGCGAAAGCAGGUCAUAGUGAUCCGGUGGUUCUGAAUGGAAGGGCCAUCGCUCAACGGAUAAAAGGUACUCCGGGGAUAACAGGCUGAUACCGCCCAAGAGUUCAUAUCGACGGCGGUGUUUGGCACCUCGAUGUCGGCUCAUCACAUCCUGGGGCUGAAGUAGGUCCCAAGGGUAUGGCUGUUCGCCAUUUAAAGUGGUACGCGAGCUGGGUUUAGAACGUCGUGAGACAGUUCGGUCCCUAUCUGCCGUGGGCGCUGGAGAACUGAGGGGGGCUGCUCCUAGUACGAGAGGACCGGAGUGGACGCAUCACUGGUGUUCGGGUUGUCAUGCCAAUGGCACUGCCCGGUAGCUAAAUGCGGAAGAGAUAAGUGCUGAAAGCAUCUAAGCACGAAACUUGCCCCGAGAUGAGUUCUCCCUGAGACUUUAGGUCUCCUGAAGGAACGUUGAAGACGACGACGUUGAUAGGCCGGGUGUGUAAGCGCAGCGAUGCGUUGAGCUAACCGGUACUAAUGAACCGUGAGGCUUAACCUUACAACGCCGAAG
rnacentral:rRNA from 3 species